rnacentral:rRNA from 1 species
UACGUAGGGUGCAAGCGUUGUCCGGAAUUAUUGGGCGUAAAGAGCUCGUAGGCGGUCUGUCACGUCGGAUGUGAAAAUCCAGGGCUUAACCCUGGACCUGCAUUCGAUACGGGCAGACUAGAGUUCGGUAGGGGAGACUGGAAUUCCUGGUGUAGCGGUGAAAUGCGCAGAUAUCAGGAGGAACACCGGUGGCGAAGGCGGGUCUCUGGGCCGAUACUGACGCUGAGGAGCGAAAGCGUGGGGAGCAAACAGGG